AACGUAGGAGACAAACGUUAUCCGGAGUUACUGGGCGUAAAGGGCGUGUAGGUGGUUUCGUAAGUCUGGCGUGAAAUAUCUCGGCUUAACCGGGCGAGGUCGGCGGAAACUGUUCGACUUGAGGACGGUAGAGGGGGGUGGAAUUCCCGGUGUAGUGGUGAAAUGCGUAGAGAUCGGGAGGAACACCUGUGGCGAAGGCGGCCCCCUGGGCCGGCCCUGACACUGAGACGCGAAGGCGUGGGGAGCGAACGGG
rnacentral:rRNA from 1 species